UACGCAGGGCGCAAGCGUUGUCCGGAAUUAUUGGGCGUAAAGAGCUCGUAGGUGGUUUGUUACGUCUGCUGUGAAAACCUAGGGCUUAACCCUGGGCCUGCAGUGGAUACGGGCAGACUAGAGGUAGGUAGGGGAGAAUGGAAUUCCCGGUGUAACGGUGAAAUGCGCAGAUAUCGGGAGGAACACCGGUGGCGAAGGCGGUUCUCUGGGCCUUACCUGACACUGAGGAGCGAAAGCGUGGGGAGCGAACAGG
rnacentral:rRNA from 1 species